rnacentral:tRNA from 1 species
GGGAGAGUGGCGAAAUUGGUGAAACGCGCCGCCACGAAAGGCGGUGAGGAGUGCACGCCCUCUUGUUGGUUCAAAUCCAGCCUCUCCCGCCA